UAGGGAAUCUUCGGCAAUGGACGGAAGUCUGACCGAGCAACGCCGCGUGAGUGAAGAAGGUUUUCGGAUCGUAAAGCACUGUUGUUAGAGAAGAACGUUGGUAGGAGUGGAAAAUCUACCAAGUGACGGUAACUAACCAGAAAGGGACGGCUAACUACGAGCCAGCAGCCGCGGUAAUAAGUAGGUCCCGAGCGUUGUCCGGAUUUAUUGGGCGUAAAGCGAGCGCAGGCGGUUCUUUAAGUCUGAAGUUAAAGGCAGUGGCUUAACCAUUGUUCGCUUUGGAAACUGGAGGACUUGAGUGCAGAAGGAGAGAGUGAAAUUCCAUGUGUAACGGUGAAAUGCGUAUAUAUAUCGAGGAACACCGGUGGCGACAUCGGCUCUCUUGUCUGUAACUGUCGCUGAUGCUCGAAAGCGUGGGGAGCAAACAGG
rnacentral:rRNA from 1 species